rnacentral:rRNA from 1 species
UACGUAGGGUGCAAGCGUUAAUCGGAAUUACUGGGCGUAAAGCGUGCGCAGGCGGUGCUGUAAGACAGGCGUGAAAUCCCCGGGCUUAACCUGGGAAUGGCGCUUGUGACUGCAGUGCUGGAGUGCGGCAGAGGGGGAUGGAAUUCCGCGUAUAGCAGUGAAAUGCGUAGAUAUGCGGAGGAACACCGAUGGCGAAGGCAAUCCCCUGGGCCUGCACUGACGCUCAUGCACGAAAGCGUGGGGAGCAAACAGG